rnacentral:lncRNA from 1 species
GCCAGAAUCCCUCGCCCACUUCUUCAUUUGCUUGGGCCAGGAUCACCCCAGAGGCAGUCCUGUGUAUGAAGGAGACCACUGUGGGUGCCACAGCUCCAAUGCUCCCUGUCCCAGGCACCCUGCCCACCCUGGGAACAGCAUCUUCCAGCCCGUGUGCACAGGGGUGGGAUGCUUGUAGAAUGUUUGUUUCAUAGGACAGGGUAUAUCUGUUUUUUAGAACUGGAUGCUUCUCAAGUGCUGUUAAGAGACUGCAACUUGUGGUGCUCGGAACCGUUGGCCGUUGUUAUGUAGGCACACAUUUCUCCUUGGUUGGUUUGACUUCCCAGCUGGGCAUUCAGGCUGGGUGUUACAUCACUUUCUUUUGCUAUGAGUCAUAGCUCUGAGAGACCAUGGCUGUGUCUACUGAAAAUGGAAGCCUGAAACGUUUGCGGAAGAAUAGAGGAAACCAAAAUAGUGCGAAAGGGCUGACGAUCACAAAUACAGACAGCAACAGCAAAAGCACCGAGGUGGAGUUUCUCAGCUGCAGAGAUAACAUAGCCCAGGGCUCCUUUGGGAUCUGUCUCUGGGAAUCAGCAUGGUUUGGGUGCAUCAUUUAGGGGGAAAAGCAGGAAGCAAGCUGAAUCAAGAGCAACAGUGUUAGAAUCCAUGAUGGGAUGUUCUAGCUGCUCUCUUUCGCUAUGGGAAAGCAAGGUUUAGAGAUGCCGACACCAGCAUACUCUUAAUUCUGAGGUAUUUUCUAUAGCUAUUUUUUGGUACCCAAAGGCGCAGUAAGGGUGCUCAGGGACAGACGUGAGCACUGAGCCAGCUCCACCACUCAGGCUGUGGCUGUUGGGCUGCAGCUGGCUGACCCAGGGGACAUGUUUUCAGUGGGCAUGUGAGCCAGCAGCUCUGCUUCUGUGAGCCUGCGUGUGAAGAGGAGUUCCUCCCUCGUGGGAAAUACUGACGAGAUGGUAAUUGUUUUGGUGGUUUUGCUGCAGAGCCUUCUGAAAACCCAGAUGCAGAGCAGUGGUGCUGGUAGCUCGGCCUACAGACUUGCCAUGUGUUUGAUGCAGCUGUGCUCAGAGAGGAAACUUCAGGAGCCAAGGAGUGUGAUUUCUCAAUAACCUGAUGGGCAGCAGGUAAAGCAGGGGGCUGGGACAGGGCUCCUGGGGGCAUCUGAGCGUCUGCAUUGCCUGCCUGUGCUCCUCUUGGAACAAAGGACUGCACUGUGCCCAUCAUGGAGGGGACUUUGUUGAGGUACUGGAGCCCCAGUCAGACAUCAGGGGUCUGUCACACAGCAUCACCCCGGGAAUGAAGUGGCCCCUCGUGCUCAUGGUUGAGCUGCUAUGGGCUGUUUUGGCACUUAGGUAACAAUGUGAUUUCCUGUCUCAUGACAGUUCAGAUAUUAAAGGUCACAUCUGCCUAAUACUUUCAGUCUUAACUAUGGCAAACUUUCCCAGCGCUUCUAAAGCAGACAGUUGUGGUAUGGUUCCCUUCUGAACCAUAUUCAGAAACCAGAGGUUGUUCUGUAGCUCUUUAUCAUUAUUGUUGCUACUACUAGUAGGUCUUGUACAGGGAUUACUCAGAACAGCAGCACAACAACAACUCUGCCCAGAGAAGGAAAGGUCAGGAUCUUCAGGUGCUGCUGCCACAAGCCUGCAGCCCGCUGUUCUGCGUCUCAGCAGCAGAUCUUGGUCAAAGCUGCACCAAAGAACAACUCCAGGGACAGCCCUCUCCUCUCUCCUGCUGUCUGUCCUUACCGUGCCUCGCAGCCUGUGAGGAUGCUGCAGAUGCACUCUGUGUGAACACUCAGGAGAUGAGGGAGCAGGAGAAAGGACACGCACAGAUUGAGGCUAAGGAGAAAAGAAACCCCAUGUGGUAAUUGCUUGCUAGAAAUAAAUGCAAGGGACUGAAUUCUUGGUGGCUCCAUGCAGAUUCACAGCAGCUGAGAAUCUGUCCCUGGAAACUGCAAGGGGUGCUAUGGCUGUGACUGUGUAUGCAAGCUUCAGGUUAUCUGUAUAAUGAGGUAGUCCAAAAAGUUGGAAGCUUUGUGCAAAUAUCUGAGAAUAUCCCCAGGACAGCAGGAGCCUUUGUGCUCGUCCUUAACCAGGUGGUAUUUGCCCGGCUUUCUGGAGCAGCUUGAAGUCCCCUUCAGAACAAAACCACCUUUAACAAACACAAACGUACUUUGUGUUCUCUAUGGAAGCCCAGUGCCCAGGCCAUGUUACUAUGUUACUGAACUCUAGUUUUUGCUGUGCUUCAACACAGUUAAAAGCCUGAAAGCUGAGCCAUUUUAAAGCAUCCCAUAAGACCCUUGAGUCAUGCAAAAUCCUAUCCCGUUUUUCCCUCUGGGUGAAGAGUUAUGAAUGAUAGAAGUGCUUUUAAAUCAUAGAUAAAGAAUGCUGAGUGAUGGGUUAGUAAAAAUAAUUUUAAGAACUCCCUAUUUUCAUCUAGAUUUUAUUUCCCUGGGUGUGAAUUCAACAGGUGGGGCUGAAAUAUCACAGCUUGCCCCCCAAAAGGAGCGGCGUGCAGCUGAAUCCCCGCAAGAGUCACUAUUCCUUUUCUUGCUUUCUUUACUGCUUCAGGCAAAUUAUGAUUGUAAUACUUCUCCGUUCUCUAGCACAGCUCAUUUCCCCACCCUGUACCAGCUCAAUUUCUCUGGCAGGACUGCUGGGAAUGGCGGACCGCUGCUUCCGUCUGCUCCCAAACCUCCUGCUGACAAAACUGCACCUCUGUGAUCCUACCCAACCUGCUUCUGACCCAGCCGGGUAGGCAGGGGGGUCAACGUGGUGUCCUCUGUGCUUGCAUCUACCAGUGCUGCUCUGCCAGCUGCUGACCCAGCACCAUGAGGAUACUCAGAUCCCCUGGAUAUUCUUCUUACUAGAAUAAAGCUACCUGGAACUACUGCUUGGUUCCGGAGGUAAGUGCUGCACUGCCCUUCCAUUCUACUUUUCCAUAUUUGCUACCUAUUACAGUGUUAAUCAUUGGGAUCCCUCUCUUUUCAGUUUCCUUUCCCUGAAACGCGGUGGUCAGACUUCCCAGACCGUGCAUUCUUUGUUGACCAGGAAUUUCUAAAUGCCAAAACAGAGCCAAAUGGAAAUGCUUUGCAGGGGGUUUUGUUACCGCGAGCCAUAGAAACAUUCAAUCAGGAAAAUAAGUCUCUCUUUUGAUUUCAGUCACCAUUUUGGGGCAUGCAUUUUAGGUCAGACAUUAUUUUUGACACAUACAAGACAACAAUUGGACAAACACACCAUUUUUUGGCUAGUAUUUCAUUUAAAAAAAAAAUUGAGGAAGACAGGUAUGUUUCAAUACAUGUGUAGCUCAGAUCUGUGCAAUUGAACUGCUUUUUUGCUUAGGGAAAAUAAUGUAAUUUAGUAACCUUGCUUGUUGCAUAGAGAAGAGCGGUUAUGCUUCUUCAUCAAACUGAAACAUCCCAUUACACGGAUUUCAGAUGAUUUCUCAUGCUAUUUUUUCAGGUUUCACUUUUUUUUUUUUUUUUCCUCCUUUAAAAGGAACUUGAAGCAACUCUCUGCUCAGCUCCCGCUGGUGAAAAAGCAGCCCUAUCCACUGCUCACUGUGAUGGGAAGAGAAGAAGUUGACAGCAACCUUUGGGCAUUCUGCUUCCUCCUCUUUCCCCAUCAGACCUUCCCUUUUGUAGUACAUCUGGAGGGCCACGAACAGCCUUGACAACAUCCCCAGAGGUCUCCUGCUUUCAAAAUGCCACGCGUUGAGCCUAUAUUGUAGUGAGCUGAGAUACUAACUUCAUGUGAGAUGAACUUCACGUGUGUUAACCUGAUGAGCUAGGUCUUGCCAGUGCUGUGAAUAGGUCUGGCUGUAGAAAACGCUUCUGGAGUGAGCAAAAAUUGCUCAUAUUCAGCUAAAUAUUCUGAAAACAGAAAGGCCUGCAGAGGAAGUGAACCUAGCAGCUAUCCAUAUAUUACUCAAACAUGACCACAUGCAUUCCGCUCUGUUUCUCAGCAAACCCCUCUGAAAAGGCUGUGCAUACGUCUUACUUCACAUGCAAGCGUUGACCUUUCCCAAUGAUGUCAGAGGAGAGCAAGCCAUAGGCCUGUUACAGAGCCCUGUGUCUCAUAUGCUUGUCCCAGCCACUGGGUGCUUUGUGAUGGACAUGCAGGGAUCGCAUACAUUUUCUACAGAAAGAGAGACCUGUCACCAUGGUGCUGGGCUCAGAGAGCUGCAGAGCAAGAGCUUCACCGAGCUGUAUGGCUGAAUUGUUCCCUUCUUCAUUGUCCAUUUAAAAAAAUCUAAAUGGAAGAUGGGAAGCUGCCUGCUUGAGGUUUGUGUAUGAAUAAUUAUAGGUACCUGCACUAGCAAGGGACUUUGUGAAAGACGAGAAAAUAGUUGGGCCUCUUCAGGGAAUGUGUGGCAAGCAGGUCAUUUAAAAAUAACUUUUGGAGGCUCUGGGAAGUGGGUGAAAUGAAGUAACAAACAGCUUCUGAAAAAACAGCCGACAAGGGAGCGUUUCAUCUGAUAUCACAGACUGCUAGUUUUCAUUCUGAUCCUGUUGUUGUCUUCUUUAUAUAGCUCAUAGAGUGCCCUUAAGUUGUCUCCAAAGGAUAUUAAUUUUCCACUGGCAUCAGAAAGGCUGCAAUGAUACUUGCACCAAGGUAAGCGACCCCCUCAAGGUUUCUGCACCCACAGCUCCGGACUGGCUGGAAACACAGGCAAUUAAUAAAUCAGAAAAUGAGUGCCUCUCGGCCCUCCUUGCUCCAGGGAAGCCAACAGGAGCUUUGUCAGUAGGAGCAGAACAAGACCACAGAGUGUGCCCCAUAAAGGAUGUGCAUGUGGAAAAGCUCUGCCGUCUAGAACGAAUGCCAGCUCUUAAGAGUUCUGAUCAAAGUCUGAAGUGGACUGAAGCAGAAAACACUGAACAAGAGCUGGGAUCCACCACAGAUGGGGGUGGCUUCGGCCACUACGGGAGGACUGCCACAGCCACGUGGUGAUGCUGAGAGACUUCCCAGCAAGCAGAGAACAUGCUGGUUCUUGCUCUGGGGUAUGGAAGGCCAUCUCAGUCGAUCAUGCCAAAGACAUCAGGACUUAUUCCUUGUGAAGCCUGGGUGGUAACUGGUAAUGAAGACCGUAACAGCCACAAUCUGUGGUAUGCUUUAAUCUACACAAAAUCUGGGAGCAUAAACAUCACUGAGCAUGCUGGGAUAGGGACUGAGAGUCACGUGCUGAAAGCCAGGCUGUUUCCCAGGGUCCUCUUACAGUUUUCAUGCUGGUUGGAAGUAGAUCAUGAGGUUGAUGGCACUUGUCAUCAUUACUUUACCCUCCUUUUUUGUGUUUGUGCAGAGAACCAUUUGCAAUGUGAAACAGUGCAGGACAUUGCCAAACAAAGCCAACCAAACACCCUGGGUAUGCUGCUUGGAUGAAAGAGCUCUUUAGAAGAUGGACAAAUGGACGCAGGGGACAAAAGAGUAAUGCCAACAAAGUGUGUGUAUACACACAGCCCUCUACACGCUGGAAUCUCAGUCAUAAAGUAGCGUUCUCUUCCUCACCACCGCUUACUAACUCGCUGUUUUCUUUCCAGAAGAAUGAAGGCCUUGACAGAAUGCAAGCGAUGAGUAAUGACUUUGCUUUCUUCCAUUCCAGCUGCCACACAGGCACAUAUGUGAGUCCCUGGCCCUGCAAACUGGAACACUUUAACCUUUUCUUGUGUUCCGUGCCUGUCCUGUCACCUACUGUUGUUGCAGCCAGUGCACUCUUUAGCCAGGUCUGCUUCUCUCAGUAGCUUGGGCAAUUGUAUUUACAGGAAGCAAGAAAAUACACUGAUAAACAGCAGUGUGUGUCUGGGGAUAAUGUCAGCAUUUCAGCCAGAGCCUUGCUAUUCCCUUGGUGUUAUCACUGAUGGAUCCUCUGCCCUUCCUUACAUGUGGGCUUGAGGAGGUGGUUGUUUUGGCUGGAAUUAGAGAGGCACAGGUGGUAUCACCAGCUGUAAAUUGGAGGAGGCACUUCCUGAUUAUGACCACUGCCUACACAUAAAUCACUGCCAAGAGAGGAGCUGGGAAGCGUAGAAGCCUUCUCCUUACUUGGAAAGAGGGCCUCGAGUAUAGUCAUAAUUCCCCUCAUCUUUUUUUUUUUUUUUUCCAUCUAUAGGUUUUGGGGUUCUCAGUGUGCUCUUGGCUUCCCAAAAUGCUGUGACAUGGAAAACCCUCAGCUGAGUUGGACAGAUAGAUAAACCAAGGCAUCGAGUACUUACGCAUCUAACGCUUGGGCACUCAAAUCCUCAUAAAGGAACUGGGAGCUCAGGAGACGCACAUGCAGGAGGCAUUUGAGAGCCAGGACUUCAGCAAAGAUUCAGGUAUUUGCUCAACCACAGCAAAAUGUCAUCCCCUUCAAGUGGUGAAUGAGCCCUUGAUCUCUGCAAGGUCAAGAUUUUUGCCUUCUGGCUUUAGGUGCUAGUGGUGAGAGACCUGUCCAAAGGUGCUGUUUUCUAGUGCUGUUGUCUAGUGCUCAUUUCUCUACCUAUUCACCUGUACACGUGAAGACCUCUGCUGCUGGCCCUUGUCUGCAGGAAGCUUGGUGUGUUGAGUCUCCUCAUCAACCCAUCUGUUGGGGUGACCGUUCAGCCCCUUGCUGGCUCACAGUCUUGCUUUUGGGAUAUUUCUUCCCUUUUACUCUGGAGCAUCUUAAAUGUGGGUCCACUGAAUGUACAGAUUGAGAGCAGGGAAUGAAGGAGACGUGUUGCAGAAUCAACCCACCGACGUGUGCUGCUCACCCACGCACAUGGGGAGAGGGAAAGAUUAAAAGAUUAAAGUUACAAACUGGAAAGCGCCCCAGGCUACCACGGAGAUCCGAGUGACUGCCUGCGAAGCCAAACUCCCACUCUGGAGGUGCCGCUCCACGCUCGCUGUCACUCACUCCACACUUGCUUUCUCCUGCCAUCCCUUCCUGCUACUGCCUUUGCUAUUUUUACAGGCUGAAAAAUUAAGUAAUCAUCUGUUUUGGCCACGAAGGAGGGCCCUGGGCAACUCCUGGUUGUCACUGCAGGGCUCGUGGGCGUAGCCUUCUGCUCCAUCGCUGCACUCCUGUACUUCUAGACCUUGAAGACUCCUCCAUCAGCCUUCUGCUUUGCCCCAUCUGCCCAUAUCACGGCCAGGUUUGGUUCGGAUGCGGCUCAGGACUUGCGUGGGAGGGGCAGCAAUUUGCAGCAGUUAGAAUUUCAGUAAUGACAUAGGGAAGUUUGCAAGGCCUUCAGUGCUUUCUCGCCCCUACAGUGAGGUGCGAAUCAAGGCUUGCUCUACCAAGCUUACAAUUAAAUAUGCCCACAGUAUCAUACUCCUUCCUGUCAUUUGUGAAGAUUUUCUCACUUUCUUUUCUUUCCCUUCGUUAGAGCUGGACAAAGUUUUGGGGCUGAAAAGGCACAGAAGUAAAACUAAGGUCUGGGAGCUCCAGAACAGUUAUUAGCGCAGUGCUUGCGUUGGUAGGCAUGAUGCAAAGAAGGCUGUGGAUGCCCCAUCCCUGGAGGCAUUCUAGGCCGGGCUGGAUGUGGCUCUGGGCAGCCUGGUCUGGUGGUUGGUGACCCUGCACAUAGCAGGGGGAUUGAAACUCGAUGGUCAUUGUGGUCCUUUUCAAGCCGGGCCAUUCUAUGAUAUGAUAUUUUUGUUUGACUGUAGCAGUUAAUCUGAGCCAAAACGAUGAUUUCAUUUAAUUCUUGGAGUAUUGAGCUCUAGAAAUGUUUCUUUUCCAAUUUGCUUUCUGUUACUGUAUUUGAGUUUGGGGGCACUUUUUGUCAGAAACAAGCUGUUUCAAAGAAUAAAAACGGUUUGGCUCUGCUGCUUUGAGUAUGUUGAAAUGGUGUAUUUUGACAUCUCAGAAGUUCCUCCUCCUCCCUGUGCUUUUCAGAUGAAGGUAUUCCUCAGACUCAGGCUGUACUUGUGAAUGUGUUCAGUCCCCUUAGGGUUCCAUAUUUAAUCUGGUCUCCCAGCUAUCAGCUAUGCUGCCUGGCUCUGCUGUUGUGUGGAGGUGACAAAGGAGCACUGGGACCUUCUCGGUCCUGCAAGAAAUGGUGCUCAUUGCACGUGAGAUGGUGGGACAGCCAACUCCUAGCUUGGCUUUCCUGCUGAGGACAGUGGGAACCCUGCAGAUCAGGACACGUUCGGGUGAUUCGCACCUGCCCUUAGAUACCAGCAUUUCUUCUGGCGUGACUGCUUUCUC